rnacentral:lncRNA from 1 species
CACCCCUGCAGUGACAAUGCCAGAUCCUUAACUCCCUGCUCCACAAGAGAACUCCUCUAAUAAACACUUAAAAUUUAACUCGAGAUCCAAGACUAUCACACAAGAAACCAUUAGGGAACUGUGUGAACAAGACAUGAUCAGGUGUCCGUUUAUAGGAUACAGGCAAUUACUUCAAUGACAGUUCAGAGAAGAGAGAGAACACAGUAGGUGAAAAAUCUUUGACAAUAUAAUGGAGGAAGAGGGACUGAAGUUAGAGGGGAAAUUACGUGCAAGAUUUACAGAGUUCCCUAAUUGCCUCGUAAUUAAAAGAUCUAGCAUUGUCCCUGCUAUGGCACAGGUUCGAUCUCUUGCCCAAGAACUUCUACAUGCCACGGGCAUGCUCCUCACCCCCCAAAAAGAAAAAAGAUUGUGCAAGAUAUAGAUUCGAGAGAGAAGUGGAUCAGGUGUACUAGGCUGCUAGGGACAUCGCAAGCAAAGGCAGAGGGGCCAUGCUUCAGAUGGAGAUGAAAGACACACCUGGAGUUCCCAUCGUGGCUCAGUGAAAACGAAUCUGACUAGCAUCAAUGAAGGUGCAGAUUCGAUCCCUGGUCCUACUCAGUGGGUUAAGGAUCCAUCAUUGCCAUGAUCUGUAGGUUGCAGACGCAGCUCAGAUCUGGUUUUGCUGUGGCCGUGGGUAGGCCGGUAGCUGCAGCUCUGAUUUGACCCCUAGCCUGGGAACCUCCAUAUGCCAAGGGUGAGGCCCUAAAAAAAGACCAAAAAAAAGACAUGCCCUGAUUGGAGGGGAGCUGACCGGAAAGUCUGAGUAGGGAAGUCAUAGGAAUUAAGGCUGAAUAGGGAAGCUGGGGCCAAAUCACAGAUCUUUGGGGCCAAACAGAGAAACAAGACCCUAUGUUUUGUUGCAUAAAGCGUGUGGGCAGAGUUGGUUCCUUCUGAGGGCUGUGAGGGAGCAUCUGGCCUGUGCCUCCCCCACCGUAUGGUGGCCUCAGGCACUCCUUGGCUUUAGGUGGUUUUCUCCCUGUGUUGUCAUGUCCUCGUCUUUCUCUGUGUCCAGAUUUCCUUUUUGUAUAAGGACACCAGUCAUGUUGCAUUAGGGCCCUCGCUCAGGACCUCAUUUUCACUUGAUCACCUCUGUGAAAACCUAUUUCCAAAUAAGGUCACAGUCCGAGGUACUGCAGGACUUCUUAUCUUUUUGGGACACAAUUCAACCCAGUACAGGAGCCUUUAAAGAGUCUUUAGGGGAGUUCCCGUUGUGGCUCAGGGGUUACGAACCCUGGUAUCCAUAAGUUCAAUCCCUGGCCUUGCUCAGUGGGUUAAGGAUCUAGCCUCACAGCUGGGUGAGAUCCUUAACCUACUGAGCGAAGCCAGGGAUUGAACCUGAGUCCUCAUGGAUACUAGCCAGGUUCAUUACCACAGAGCCACAAUGGGAACUCCUGCUGCAUAAGUUUUGGCAAUGCCUUCAGUGGUAUAACCAUUACUACUAUCAAGACUUGGAACAGUUGCAUCUUCUCCCAGCAGUCCUUCCUGCUGAAGCACUUUCUGGGAGGAAGCCGGGAUUUAUGCAAAGUCAGACAGGAGGGAAGUUGGAGUUCCUGUCUCGGCUCAGUGGUUAACAAACCCUACUAGGAUCCAUGAGGAUGCGGGUUCAAUCCCUGACCUCGCCCAGUGGAUUAAGGAUCUGGCGUUGCCGUGAUCUGUGGUGUGGGUCACAGAUGUGAAUCAGAUCCCACAUUGCUGUGGCUGUGGUGUAGGCCAGCGGCUAUAUCUCUGAUUGAAUCCCUAGCCUGGGAACCUCCAUAUGCCGUGGGUGUGGCCCUAAAAAGACAUAAAAUGAAAUAAAAUAGGUAAGUUAUAUUAAAGGAGAAAAAUGAUGGCUUUGAAGCCGAAGGAAGGGUUAACUGAGGGACAGUGGUAAGGAGGCAGAUGGGGGUCUCUGAAAGGGUUAAUUAUUGUGAAAAGGAUUCUCUCCCUCCUUCCUGUGAAAUGGAAAGAAGAAUGCCUAUUUUCAGGGUCUGCAAUGUAUAUUUGGGGGAUGGAUUCCUAAAGUCCUGCCAGCAAAGCCAUUUCCUGCCGAGCAAGAUGUUAAAAGUCAUUUUCCAUCACUUCCACCUUGGAGGUAUUCUUUCCUAUUGCAAGUCCUGUCUGUGGGAAUUAAAUCAACGUGCAGGGCAGGCGCGGGGCUGGUCUUCUUUGGGCUGUGAGCCCACAUUCUGCUGCCAUGGAAUACUGUAGCAAUUUUAGAACUAACAACUUCACCAUUCUCCAAUGAGAAGUGCCUCUGUAUCUUUUCCUGUAUCAUACAGUGGAAGAACUUGGCAGCAACACAGGCUUCCGUCCCCACGAAUGUAUGUGACAGCCAGGAGAAUGAGUCACGGCUACAGGGCCAGCUUCCACACACAUCCUCAGGGUGUCAUUUGGCAAAAGAGAGUCAUGUCGCCCAUCAUGUUAUACUUUUGACUUAAAGUCACCCUGCCGUGAAGUUCCCACCUGUGGCCUCUGACAUCAUUGUCAUCUCUCUGCAUCAUUGUCAUCUCUCUGCACCUUUGCGUGUCACGUGAUUCGGGUGAGGGAGGCAGGAGGGUGUUGAACAACAGUCUUCAAACUCUGGGUUUCACAAGCAGCUUGUGAAUCAGGUUGUGGGUUGCAAGCAGCUUGUUUUAAAAUGAAAUAGAAGACAGCAGGGAGCUGUGUAGAAUCACACAGCUUUUGGUUCAAUGAGAUAUACGCACACGUCUAUACUGGACGGCAACAUAAAAUGUGUUUCUUCUGGGGAUCACGGUUACAAACGUGUGGGAAGUGGCCCUCCACAGGCUACUGAAUGUCCUUGUGGCUUAACUGGAGCCAUAAUCUACAAAAUGGGGAUAGUAGCAGUUAUCUGUUUCAUCUGGUUGUUGAAAGGAUUAAAAAGAAAAUGUAUGAACAGUGUUAUGGAUUAUGUCUCAUUAAUAAGCAAUGCUUAUUAUGAUCAUUUCUUUUUCUGCAGAGAUCUACAGCCCAAAUUUUGUUUCCUACCCAGACCUUUCCUCUAAGGCUUGAGCUUCGACCCCACCUCCACGUGGUUGUUCCAGCUCAGCGUGUCCAAACUUAAACUCAGCUCCUCAGCACCUUCUUUCUCCAGUCCACCACCUCUCACUGCCCACCCUUCUCCCUAGACACACAGACCCCUCUGCCGCUCCUCCAGCAUCCAUUUCUGUGAGAGAUGCCAUCAGUCCCCUGCCACUUAGGCUGUCUGAGCAUCAUCGAAUGCUACUUUGUCUAGAAAGUGAAUUCUUCUAAGAAGAGAAUUCUGAGCCUGGGUCACCAUCACCACUCACUAGAUUUGUGAGAUUUUGCCCGCAGCCUUGCCCUAUUAACCACACCUUGCAGCCUUUCCUGUUUGUAAGUGUUCAAUGUGCUCCCACAGGUCCCAGGUUAAAUUUUACACUCCUUGGGAGUUCCCUUCAUGGCUCACUGGUAACAAACCCAACUAGUAUCCAUGAGGACGCAGGUUUGAUCCCUAACCUUGCUCAGUGGGUUAAGGAUCCAGCGUUGCUGUGAGCUGUGGUGUAGGUAGCAGACACGGCUCAGAUCUGGGUAUUGCUGUGGCUGUGGUGGAGACUGGCAGCUGCAGCUCUGAUUCGACCCCUAGCCUGGGAACCUCCACAUGCUGCAGUUGUGGCCCUAAAAAGACAAAAAGACUUCUGCGUAAAACCUUACAACAUCUAAAACAUGAUAUUGCUUGUUGUUUCUCAUAAGUGUCUGUGGAAAUGACCUGCACUGGAAGUCAGCUAAAUCUGCCUCUCCUUUCUGCUUGCUCUUUAACUUUUAGGGUUGAAGUAGGCGAGAUUCGAGCUUAACUCUUGCCCUUUGAUUCUUAAAUAUAAUUCAUUUAACUUCACUGGUACCAUGUUAUAACCACACUGCACUGGAUACUCAAUAAGCAUGUUUGAUGAAUUAAUGAUUAACUAGUCAUUUAGUCUCUUUUAUUCAUUUUUAGAAGACUAAUGUUUAUUUUAUUUUAAUUGAUUUUUUAUUUUUAACUGUGUUUUGGUUUUUAUUUUAUAUUAGAGUAUAGUUGAGUUACAGUGUUGUGUUAGUUUCAGGUGUACAGCUAAGUGAUCCAGUUAUACAUAUAUACAUAUCCAUUCUCUUUCAGAUUCUUUUCCCAUAUAGGUUAUUACAGAAUAUUGAUUAGAGUUCCCUGUGCUAUACAGUAGGACCUUAUUGAUUAUCUAGUUUCCUUUAGAACGAAUAUUCCUUCCACUCUGGUGUUUGUAGUUCUUAGUGACUUAGGAGUGUACAGAUAAAACAAAGUAAUAGAGUUUUCUGGUGGUGCAGCAGGUUAAGGAUCUGCUGUUGUCACUGCUGUGGUUCAGGUCGCUGCUGUGGCUUGGGUUUGAUCCCUGGCCUGGGAACUCCUGCAUGCCAUGGGCAUGACCAAGAAAAUAAAACGAAACAAAC